rnacentral:rRNA from 1 species
GAGGAAAAGAAACUAACAAGGAUUCCCCUAGUAACUGCGAGUGAAGCGGGAAAAGCUCAAAUUUAAAAUCUGGCAGUCUUUGGCUGUCCGAGUUGUAAUCUAGAGAAGUGUUGCCCGCGCUGGACCGUGUACAAGUCUCCUGGAAUGGAGCGUCAUAGAGGGUGAGAAUCCCGUCUCUGACACGGACUACCAGGGCUUUGUGGUACGCUCUCAAAGAGUCGAGUUGUUUGGGAAUGCAGCUCAAAAUGGGUGGUAAAUUCCAUCUAAAGCUAAAUAUUGGCGAGAGACCGAUAGCGAACAAGUACCGUGAGGGAAAGAUGAAAAGAACUUUGGAAAGAGAGUUAAACAGUACGUGAAAUUGCUGAAAGGGAAACGCUUGAAGUCAGUCGCAUUGGCCGGGGAUCAGCCUCACUUUUUGUGUGGUGUACUUUCUGGUUGAUGGGUCAGCAUCAAUUUUGACUGCUGGAAAAAGGCUUGAGGAAUGUAGCAGCUUCGGCUGUGUUAUAGCUUCUUGUCACAUACAGCGGUUGGGAUUGAGGAACUCAGCACGCCGCAAGGCCGGGUUUCGACCACGUUCGUGCUUAGGAUGCUGGCAUAAUGGCUUUAAGCGACC